CUACGGGCUGCAGCAGUGGGGAAUAUUGCACAAUGGAGGAAACUCUGAUGCAGCAACGCCGCGUGGAGGAUGACACUUUUCGGAGCGUAAACUCCUUUUAUAUAGGAAGAAGAUGACGGUACUAUAUGAAUAAGCGCCGGCUAACUCCGUGCCAGCAGCCGCGGUAAUACGGAGGGCGCAAGCGUUGCUCGGAAUCACUGGGCGUAAAGAGCGUGUAGGCGGAUUAAAAAGUCAGAAGUGAAAUCCUAUAGCUUAACUAUAGAACUGCUUCUGAAACUCUUAAUCUAGAAUAUGGGAGAGGUAGAUGGAAUUUCUGGUGUAGGGGUAAAAUGCGUAGAGAUCAGAAGGAAUACCGAUUGCGAAGGCGAUCUACUAGAACAUUAUUGACGCUGAGACGCGAAAGCGUGGGGAGCAAACAGGAUUAGAUACCCGUGUAGUC
rnacentral:rRNA from 1 species